rnacentral:lncRNA from 1 species
GGAUUUGUCCCACAGAUACACUCACUUCUAUGACAUUAUGUCUAAACAGAUUUAUUGCAGGCUUGUAUAUGGUACUGAAAGACCAGGCCAGGCACGGUGGCUCACGCCUGUAAUCCCAGCAUUUUGGGAGGCCAAGGCGGGCAGAUUGGCUGAGCUCAGGAGUUUGAGACCAGCCUGGCAACAUGGCGAAACGCCGUCUCUACUAAAAAUACAAAAAGUCAGGCGUGAUGGUGCAUGCCUGUAAUCCCAGCUACUCAGGAGGCUGACCUAGCAAUUCUGCUUCUAGGGAUUUGUCCCACAGAUACACUCAGUUGUAUGACAUUAUGUCUGA